AAGACGACGACGUUGAUAGGUCGGAUGUGUAAGUGUAGCGAUACAUUGAGCUAACCGAUACUAAUGAACCGUGAGGCUUAACCUU
rnacentral:rRNA from 1 species